rnacentral:rRNA from 1 species
CGGGGUGAGUAAUGCUUGGGAAGUCUGGCUUAUGGAGGGGGAUAACUACGGGAAACUGUAGCUAAUACCGCGUAGUAUCGAGAGAUUAAAGUGUGGGACCUUCGGGCCACAUGCCAUAGGAUGAGCCCAAGUGGGAUUAGGUAGUUGGUGAGGUAAAGGCUCACCAAGCCGACGAUCUCUAGCUGGUCUGAGAGGAUGACCAGCCACACUGGGACUGAGACACGGCCCAG